GCUGUAGCUCUUCCGAGCCGCAGCGCUGCCGAGUCAGCGCGCCCAGCCGAGCGCUCCGCUCGCCCUCCGCUCCCCGCGCUCCUGCACUCACCCGCUUACUCUUCCCUUUCUCUUUUCCUCCCUUUUUUUCUUUUUUUUUUUUUUUUUCUUUUUUAUCCCUGUGCCCCUGUGCCAGUUGAUUUAAAUGUAUCUGUUCAAGUGGAGAUAAUCCAUGCAAAUCAGAGGCACUGGCUCCCAGUGCUCGAUUCACAAAGAGAACUCAGCUUCAGGAGGUCACUCGUUCACAGCUGCUCCUCCCAUUAUAUUUUUCCCUUAUUGCAGAACUACUGCAUGUAUACAGUGACUGAAAGGACUCAAUUCACUGCAACUGCUGCCUGGCUUUACUUACAACUUUCUUUAAAGGGGGACUUACCUUCUAUCACUCUUGCUAAGUCUGCUUUUUGAACCAAAAAUGCAUUCUGAUUUUGGAGUACAGUACAAACCUAGAGAGCCUUGUCAUUGUUAGCAUAAAGAAGACAUCUACACAACUGUUACUGUGCAGGGGGAAAUCUUUCUUUCUCUGGCAUUUGUAAGGUUACUGUACAUAGAAUUUAGCAGAUAAAUAUCUUUUGCUUCAUGGCAUUUUGGAGAUCCUAUUGGUAUGCAGGUUACCCUGUGAAGAUGGCAACUGAAAAAAAAGAAAUAUGUUUUAUAGCAGUGUGUAAUAAAAACCCUUCAGAAUGAUGUAAGUGGAGUCUG
rnacentral:lncRNA from 1 species